AUGCGCUGGUUUCUCUUCAGAUCGAAUAAAUCAUUCCUUUGUCUAAAGAUUUUCGUGGGGAGGAACAACCAUGAGUUGCCAAAACAUUUUGAGGCUCUGCCCUAUGCAGGUCU